rnacentral:rRNA from 1 species
UACGAACUGCGCGAACGUUAUUCGGAAUCACUGGGCUUACAGGGUGCGUAGGCGGCGGAGAAAGUAGGGUGUGAAAUGCCUUGGCUCAACCAAGGCACAGCGCUCUAAACUACUUCGCUCGAGUGAGUCAGGGGUGCACGGAACUUCCGGUGGAGCGGUGAAAUGUGUUGAUAUCGGAAGGAACACCGGUGGCGAAAGCGGUGCACUGGGGCUCAACUGACGCGUGAGGAGCGAAAGCGUGGGGAGCGAACAGG